AGAAGACAUUGUCUUCCACAUCUCCACCUUUAAAGCUGAUGAGUCAGAAAUCUAGAAGACCUGCAAGAAGAGAGGUGGCAUUGUGCUAGAAUUUGAAGCCUGCGUAAGACUUCACUAAAAAGCUUUUGGCAAAAUGCAUUGCAG
rnacentral:lncRNA from 1 species